rnacentral:rRNA from 1 species
CAAUAGCGUAUAUUAAAGUUGUUGCGGUAAAAAAGCUCGUAGUUGGAUUUCUACCGAAGAUAGCCGGUCGGGUCUUCGACCUUGUAUCUGGUUUUGUCUUUGGUAUCCUCAUAGGGAACGUUUCUGCGCUUUAUUGCGUGGUGCGGUAUCUAUGACUUUUACUUUGAGGAAAUUAGAGUGUUCACGGCAGGUAAACGCCUUGAAUAUAUUAGCAUGGAAUAAUAACAUAGGAUCUUCGUCCUAUUUUGUUGGUUUCUAGGGCUAAGAUAAUGAUUAAUAGGGAUAAUUGGGGGCAUCUGUAUCAACGCGUCAGAGGUGGAAUUCUUGGAUUGCGUUGCGACAAACUACUGCGAAAGCAUUUGCCAAGGAUGUUUUCAUUGA